UCCCACUCCCGCACCAGCCGUCACACAAACCCUAGCCUUGUUUUCCCUCGAUCCCCACAGCCUCCCGCUCCCCUCCUCCAUCCCCCUCCUCGCGUCACCACGGCCUCCGCCCUGGGAGCCCUGCCGCCGCCUCUCCUCCACCCCCUCCUCGCGUCGCCACGGCCUCCGCCCUGGAGUCCCGCCGCCGCCUGCUAUUCCUCCUCCACCACGCUAGCCCCUCUACCUCGUCUUCCUUCUCUUCAUUGUUGGUUCCAGAUCAAGCACGGGUUAGGCGAGCCCAGUGGUGGGGUGAAGGGGCAGGGGAAGAGGAGGUGGGUAACUAGGUGAAGGAGCAGGUCGGCCCUCCUAGAGGCGGCGCCGCCGCCCAGCCAGGGAGGAGGCCAGACUCUCCUCCAGGCUCGCCUCUGUUUUGCCCUGAGCAGCGGCAGCGCCUAUGCCUCCACCCCACCUUCUUUUCCAUGCCUCUUCCUUGGCAUGACAGGCAGAUUUUGAGGAUGGGGAGACCCCAUGGGCUAGGUGUCCUUCCUCCUCUUGGUGACAUAUAAGAGGACCUGCAACACUGAACCGGGAAGUCCUUUUUUAGGCAGUGGUCAUGGAGCAACAAUAUAUGCUGCGUGGCAUUGCAGGUUAUUUUCCGCCCCGGUCGAUCCAGGCACGGCGUUGGAUGGGAGAGAGCAGGGGAGGGCCAAGAGGCCAGCGGUGUGGGGUGGAGCAGCGAGGCCGAAGACCAGGCAGCGGACGCCUCACGGGGUGGAGGAGAGGUCGGAGAUAGGGAAAAGCAGCAUCUUCAUGGAUGAGAUCCUGACGGCUGAAGAUGGUGCACACGGGAGGAUCUUGGAAGAUGUCAAGGGGCGCCGCGAGGAGUGGAGUAAGCUAAAUACCUGACUGGCUGGAUCAUUUUUGGGCUCUUUACAGAUUUAUCGACUUCAAAUGGUUAUCUCAUAGUUGAAGCAAAUGGUGGUCUGAAUCAACAGUGUCUUUUUAUCUGCGAUGCAGUUGUUGUGGCCAGCUUGCUUAAUGCAACUCUUGUGAUCCCAAUAUUUCAUUUGAAUAGCGUUUGGCGCGAUCCUAGCAAAUUUAGUGAUAUUUUUGAUGAAGAUCGUUUUAUCGGGACACUCAGACAACAUGUAAGAGUUGUGAAGGAACUCCCAAAAGAUGUUCUACUGCGUUUCAAUCAUAAUAUAAGAAGCAUACCAAAUAUGCGAACUAAAGCCUACUCAUCCCCAGAUCAAUUAUUUGUUACACAUCGAGGCGCCAUAUUAGUGUUUCUUAUUAUCUACCUUGAUGCCAUACUAAUUUCUGUGAUUCCAAAAUUGCUGGCACCACUUCCUGUUGCCUGUUGGUGCAAGGACCCAUGCCUUCCAUCUGAGAAAUGUAAAGGAUGGAUCAAUUGGCAUUGUCAGCUCAUGUUUAGUUCUUUGUCUCUCAGACGACAUGCAUCUCUCAACACAAUCCUAGGUUAAUGAACUGCUAAAGCUACAAUGUAGAUGCAUUGUGACUUUAUUUUCUAGCUUUGUGGGCGAGUGAAUGCAUGAUGAUGGCAGCUUGGUGUUUGCAUAAUACAAGGGAAGGAGCUGCUGAGCCAACUCUCAUGUACUUCACAUGAGCUGAAAGAGGUCAAGUGCUAAUCGCAAUGUUGGUAUGAUGCUGCGAGGCAUGGGGUUUGACAAUACAACCUUCCUCUAUGUUGCCUCCGGUAAAAUAUACAAUGCUGCAAAAUACAUGGCUCCCCUUCGCCAGAUGUUCCCUCUUUUACAAACCAAGGACACUCUUGCAUUGUCUGAAGAGCUUGCUGAGUUUGAGGGGUACUCUUCUCGGUUAGCAGCAUUAGAUUACACCGUCUGUGUUCAGAGCGAAGUGUUUGUGACGACUCAAGGGUGGAACUUCCCUCACUUUUUGAUGGGACACAGGCGUUACCUAUUAGGAGGGAAUGCAAAGACAAUAAAACGUGACAAACGGAAGCUGGUCUUAUCUUUUGACGACCCAAAUAUCAGGAGUCGAUUCAAGCACCACAUGCUGGAAAUACUGCACCAUAGUGACAUAAGGGGCAUCACAUUCAGGAAACCUAAUGAUUCCAUAUACACCUUCCCAAUGCCUGAUUGCAUGUGCCAACAAGAUGGAAUAUGAUCUAGGCGUUAGCAUACAUAAUUGAGGUAUGCAUAUCCUCUACCUUUGUGCAACAAAGGCACCAAAGGCACGACAUUGUUGACUGCAUGAUUAGGAUUUGAUGGUCAUGAUGAAAACUGGAGUGAAAUAAAGCAUUUGGUGCUUCUCAGGAGAUUCUAAAACCCUCUGGCAUACCCCAAACCGUUCGAUUCUGGAUAUAAUGGUCAAAAGGUGCCUAAUGACAAUGAAUUCCAUAGGAUCAGAAAUUGAGAAGAUGUGAGGGAUUUUGUAAAGUUAGUAAUCUGUAGGUAGUCCACCAUAUAGCAAUCUCCAUUUGUUCAAUCUGUCUGUAGGUUGUUAAAGAAAAGAGCUACGAGAUUGGGUUGUAGAUAUGAGUACAACCUGAGUGCCUCAAUGUAUAUUAAAAAACAAGCGCUAACAACAACAAAGAAAGGAAUUUUCCAGUAUAUCAUUACUCC